rnacentral:rRNA from 1 species
GUAACGGGGAAUCAGGGUUUGAUUCCGGAGAGGGAGCCUGAGAAACGGCCACCACAUCCAAGGAAGGCAGCAGGCACGCAAAUUACCCACUCCUGACACAGGGAGGUAGUGACGAAUAAUAACAAUACGGGCGUCUUUCGAGGCCCCGUAAUUGGAAUGAGUGCAAUUUAAAUCCUUCAACGAGGAUCUAUUGGAGGGCAAGUCUGGUGCCAGCAGCCGCGGUAAUUCCAGCUCCAAUAGCGUAUAUUAAAGCUGUUGCAGUUAAAAAGCUCGUAGUUGAUCCUAGUCUUCUGGGCGGGCGGUCCGCCUCGCUGGUGGGCGUCUGCGUCGCCCAGGUCUGAGUUGCUGGGGAGGAUCCUGGUGCCCUUUACCGGGUGCCGGGGUCUGCCCGCAAGUUUUACUUUGAAAAAAUCAGAGUGCUCAAAGCAGGCCGGCAGAGCCUGAAUGCAAUUUCAUGGAAUAAAUGAACAAGACCUCCGUUCUGUUGGGUUCCAGUUCUGGAGGUAAUGAUCAAGAGGGCCUGACGGGGGCAUACGUAUUGCAGGGCGAGAGGUGAAAUUCAGUGACCCUUGCAAGACGAACUAAAGCGAAAGCAUUUGCCAAGAAUGGUUUCCUUGAUCAAGAACGAAGGUCGGAGGAUCGAAGACGAUCAGAUACCGUCGUAGUUCCGACUGUAAAUGAUGCCAGCUGAAAAUCCGCCAGCGUGUCAUCCCUGACCUGGCUGGCAUUCCCCGGGAAACCUAAGCCUUUGGGUUCCGGGGGAAGUAUGGUUGCAAAGCUGAAACUUAAAGGAAUUGACGGAAGGGAACCACCAGGAGUGGAGCCUGCGGCUUAAUUUGACCCAACACGGGAAAACUCACCCGGCCCGGACACUGUAAGGAUUGACAGAUUAAGAGCUCUUUCUUGAUUCGGUGGUUGGUGGUGCAUGGCCGUUCUUAGUUGGUGGAGUGAUUUGUCUGGUCAAUUCUGAUAACGAACGAGACUCUAGCCUGCUAAAUAGUGCGCCGAUCGGUUCUGCCGGUCGAGCGGUUACUUCUUAGAGGGACAAGGGCCUCUAAGGCCCACGAGAAUGAGCAAUAACAGGUCUGUGAUGCCCUUAGAUGUCCGGGGCCGCACGCGCGCUACACUGAGGGGAUCAAUGUGUGUUUGUCCUGACCCGUUAGGGUUGGGUAACCCGUUGAACCUCCCUCGUGCUUGGGAUCGGGGCUUGAAAUUCUUCCCCGUCAACGAGGAAUUCCCAGUAAGUGCGAGUCAUCAGCUCGCAUUGAUUACGUCCCUGCCCUUUGUACACACCGCCCGUCGCUACUACCGAUUGGAUGGUUUAGUGAGGACGUUGGACCGGCAGCCGGCGAGGUUUCCGAGCUGGCAAGUCGGGAAGACGUUCGAACUUGAUCAUCUAGAGGGAGUAAAAGUCGUAACAAGGUU